AUGCGGAAGCCGUCUAGACAGGCGGGGGGGCAAGUUUCCGUGGAAAGACAGAUGCAGCGGUGGAGUGUGCCUCGCCCCCUACAAGGGCUCCACCAGGGAUGCAGAGGUGAGUGCCUGGGGAGAUCACAGAUCAGGACUACGACUACGGCACAGUCUCCCCCAGUCAUCCCGAAGAAGAAAGUCAGGAGCUCGGCGUUGCUGCAGAGGGCACGAAAUCUUGCUCAACGGGAACAUUCUGUGCUGAUCUGUGGUGACGUGGGGCUGCUAGAGGGAGGAACAGCUGAGAGCAACUCGGGAGAGUGUGUGUGACCAAGUAUUACAGAGAGGAAGGCGGAUUUAAUAAAGCGGUCUGGACAGCUCCCGGAGGUCACCCUUGUUGGAAUCAAGUCACUGACCGAAUUCCUGUGAGAAUGAUCUGAUUGGUGAGGUCUGGAGAAAACAACCAGCCCACUGAAAUCGAUCAUACUGAGGACACCUCGGUGUGACACAUCACGUGGAAACUAUUUUGAAAAACUCCACAGGUUUAACUUGCAAAAACAUGGGCACAUCUACAGUCUAACACGAUUGCGUGAGAAUAGUUGACAACAUGAGAAUAUUUGUAAAUCAGAAAUGGAAUCACGUAUACCCACUUCCAAUGUCCUCCGAAGUUCUGCGACAGCUGUUUGAAUUAAUUCUUGGCGCCCUGAUGGCAGCAUCUCUGCACUACAUUCCUUAUUAUCUCCCCGCAUGAUAGCCCUUAUGUGAAUACCCAAGCCCUUGAACAGUCCCCUUAUCGGAGUCAUUCUUUGGAAUGUGACAUUAUUAAAGAGAUAUACUUGAUCUCGGUUUUAAACCUUGGAGAGAAGAAACCAUGAGUGGGUUUCUUCAAAUGAAAGUGUCAAACAGGAAUAGGCUCUGGCAGGGAAAUCUGUCCUGAAAUGCCAACUCGUUCUCCACUGAGGCGGUGUUAUCAGGUUGACCUCCAGCUCGCCGGGGAGUGCUCUAAAUGUGCAGUGCUGCUGGCCCGCAGCACGUAUUCUGAGAAAUUCUCAAAGAUCGAUUUUACUUCCUGGGGAAAUGCUAUUUAUUCGCAUCUGUUUUCAAGGUUCUUAAGGGGGGGAAAAACAAACAGAAAAAAUGCUUGUCUUCCCACUGCCUACAGGCAGGCUCAGAGAAUGACAUUACCAUGCCUUUUAAAAAGUAUUGAAUUAGCUGGCUAAUAAUGUUUUCUUCUAAAUUAUUCUAAAAAGAAAAAUAGUUGGCAUGUAUUAGGCCAUGUUUUACAUAAAAAAGCAAUUUUGGUAUUGACUGAAAUAAUUUAAAUCAAUUGUUCUAGUUUUAAACAAUAAAGCGUAAAGGGGGAGAAAAGCCCUUUUCUUUAUAGCUAUUCUCAUGGAUUUUUCUUAAGAGAUAUUUUACACGUUAGAAAACUUGUAAGAAACGUUUCACUAUAUUUAUAUAUAUAUAUAUUUACAUAUAUAUAUGUAAAUGUUUUAGUGUCUGUACUAUAGGAUUAAUCCUCUUGGUGAUUAUGACAAUAGCCUGAAAUUCUUGAAGUUACUAAGAGUUCCUCAUUAUUUAAUUUGUUUUUUUUUUCCUCCAGUAUAUUAUUUUAAAAUGUUGGAAGAAAAAACGUCCUACUAUGUAAGAAUCUGGUGAGGUUACUCUAUAUAUGACAAUUUACAAGACAAAAUUAUUCAUAAAUAAUUAAGGCUUAAAUUCUCCAUUUUUAUUAUCAUUCUUGAAAUCUGUUUUAUUAACUGAGACAUAAUAGAGAUGUUAAAAGAUUCAU
rnacentral:lncRNA from 1 species